rnacentral:rRNA from 1 species
GAACGCUAGCUACAGGCUUAACACAUGCAAGUCGAGGGGAAACGAUAUUGGAAGCUUGCUUCUGAUAGGCGUCGACCGGCGCACGGGUGAGUAACGCGUAUCCAACCUGCCCAUCACUUGGGGAUAACCUUGCGAAAGUAAGACUAAUACCCAAUGACGUCUCUAGAAGACAUCUGAAAGAGAUUAAAGAUUUAUCGGUGAUGGAUGGGGAUGCGUCUGAUUAGCUUGUUGGCGGGUAACGGCCCACCAAGGCGACGAUCAGUAGGGGUUCUGAGAGGAAGGUCCCCCACAUUGGAACUGAGACACGGUCCAAACUCCUACGGGAGGCAGCAGUGAGGAAUAUUGGUCAAUGGACGAGAGUCUGAGCCAGCCAAGUAGCGUGCAGGAUGACGGCCCUAUGGGUUGUAAACUGCUUUUAUAAGGGAAUAAAGUGAGUCUCGUGAGACUUUUUGCAUGUACCUUAUGAAUAAGGACCGGCUAAUUCCGUG